CCGACCUUAGCUCAGUUGGUAGAGCGGAGGACUGUAGUUGGAUACUAAAUCCUGAAUGUCAUCCUUAGGUCGUUGGUUCGAAUCCGGCAGGUCGGA
rnacentral:tRNA from 1 species